UCUGGUCCUUGUGUGCCCGCCGCCGCGGUAAUCCGUCUUUUGCCCGCUUUAUCCGGAUUUACUGGGUGUAAAGGGAGCGCAGGCGUAAGGCUAAGUCUGAUGUGAAAGCCCGGGGCUCAACCCCGGUACUGCAUUGGAAACUGGUCAUCUAGAGUGUCGGAGGGGUAAGUGGAAUUCCUAGUGUAGCGGUGAAAUGCGUAGAUAUUAGGAGGAACACCAGUGGCGAAGGCGGCUUACUGGACGAUAACUGACGCUGAGGCUCGAAAGCGUGGGGAGCAAACAGG
rnacentral:rRNA from 1 species